rnacentral:rRNA from 1 species
UGCGGAAGGAUCAUUACCGAGUGUAGGGUUCCUAGCGAGCCCAACCUCCCACCCGUGUUUACUGUAACCUUAGUUGCUUCGGCGGGCCCGCCUUUAAGGCCGCCGGGGGGCAUCAGCCCCCGGGCCCGCGCCCGCCGGAGACACCACGAACUCUGUCUGAUCUAGUGAAGUCUGAGUUGAUUGUAUCGCAAUCAGUUAAAACUUUCAACAAUGGAUCUCUUGGUUCCGGCAUCGAUGAAGAACGCAGCGAAAUGCGAUAACUAGUGUGAAUUGCAGAAUUCCGUGAAUCAUCGAGUCUUUGAACGCACAUUGCGCCCCCUGGUAUUCCGGGGGGCAUGCCUGUCCGAGCGUCAUUGCUGCCCAUCAAGCACGGCUUGUGUGUUGGGUCGUCGUCCCCUCUUCGGGGGGGACGGGCCCCAAAGGCAGCGGCGGCACCGCGUCCGAUCCUCGAGCGUAUGGGGCUUUGUCACCCGCUCUGUAGGCCCGGCCGGCGCUUGCCGAACGCAAAACAACCAUUCUUUCCAGGUUGACCUCGGAUCAGGUAGGGAUACCCGCUGAACUUAAGCAUAUCAAU